rnacentral:misc_RNA from 1 species
UUGAUUCCUGCGCACAAGGAAACACAGACACGGACGGAGGAUGGAAACAAAACUCUUUGUGUUCCAAAUGUAAUUACAAACGCUAUUCUGUGGAUCUAUUGUGCAAUAUUUCAAAGUAACAAGCAAUCUCAAACAAUGUAUGCUUUAGCAUUGCUCCUUCUUACUGCUAUAUGUCUAGAAUCUCAUGGUUUUGAUCUCGCGAAAAAUCUCAGAUAUUUUGAAACAAUCCACAAAGACGAAAUUAGUCACAACGUUGUUAAACGAGGAAUCAAUCCAAGCCAGCACAAGUUCAAUCAAAUCAAAGAAAUUGAUUUUAAAGCUCUGGGGAAGAAUUUCCGUCUAAUCUUAUCACCAACGAAAGGUUUGCUGAGUCCUAACUUUAAAGCUGUAGAGAUUGAUGGCGAGGAAGAAAAGGAACAUUUUAUUCCGAUUGAUCAUGAAUCUUUCUACGACGGACGCGUGUUUGGAGAGACGGAGUCUAGAGCCCAGGUUCACAUGGAAGACGGAGUUAUAACAGCGAAUAUAUUUACUUCGGAAGAUGUUUAUCACAUUGAACCCUCAUGGAGACAUUUACCAAACACUGAUCAACAAACCAUGAUUGCAUAUAAGGAGUCGGACAUCAAGUUUUCUUGGACGGAGCCAGACGAAAAUAGUUUCAUUCCGCCGAAAGUUUGUGAUUUUGUUCGGGAGAACGGGACGGUUGACUUGGAUGAAGGGGAUGAGAAUGAGACGAGGAGUAAAAGAUCGUCGGAACCGUUCUACGCAACGGCCGGUGAGGGUUCGCUUCGGCAGACGAGAUGUCCACUGCUGUUAGUAGCGGACUACAGGUUCUACAAGGAGAUGGGAGGAUCUAAUUCUAAAACUACAGUCAACUAUUUAAUCAGUUUAAUCGACAGAGUUCAUAAAAUCUACGAGGACACAGUCUGGCGGGAUACCCCGGAGUCAGGCGGGUUCUCCAACAUGGGAUUCAUCAUCAAGAAGAUCGUUGUGCACAGGAAACCAACUCAGACAAGGGAGAACGAGGUUCAUUACAAUAUGUUCAGAUCCUCCUGGGACGUGAGAAAUCUACUCGAAGUGUUUAGUAGAGAGUACACUCAUAAAGAUUUCUGUCUCGCGCAUUUAUUCACGGAUAUAAAGUUCGAAGGAGGUAUCCUGGGUCUAGCCUAUGUAGGUUCUCCGCGGAGAAAUAGUGUCGGAGGUAUCUGUACUCCAGAGUACUUCAAGAACGGGUACACAUUGUAUCUAAACUCUGGGCUUAGCUCCAGCAGAAACCACUAUGGACAGCGGGUGAUAACAAGAGAAGCUGAUCUUGUGACGGCUCAUGAGUUUGGACACAACUGGGGCUCGGAGCACGAUCCUGAUGUGCCGGACUGUAGUCCCUCUGCUAGUCAGGGUGGAUCGUAUCUUAUGUACACCUACAGUGUAUCCGGGUAUGAUGUAAACAACAAGAAGUUUUCUCCUUGUUCACUGAGGUUCAUCCGUAAAGUUUUGCUCGCUAAAUCUUCCAGAUGCUUUACAGAACCAGAGGAAUCCUUCUGUGGAAACCUACGGGUAGAAGGAGAGGAAGAGUGUGAUGCAGGUUUACUAGGCUCCGAGGACCGGGAUGCAUGCUGUGAUGAAAACUGUAAACUCCGGGAGGGAAGUAUCUGCAGUGAUAAGAACUCCCCCUGCUGUAACAACUGUCAGUAUAUGGCGGUUAACGCUAAGUGUCGAGCAGCAAACUACGCCACGUGUGAGAAAGAAGCCUCCUGUACCGGAACCUCGGCCGAGUGCCCGAAAUCUGAUCAUAUGCCGGACGAAACCAACUGUAUUGAGAAAGGAAAAUGUCGGGACGGAAAAUGUAUCCCGUACUGUGAAACCCAGGGUGAACAGUCCUGUAUGUGUGAUAACAACAUUGAAGACGCGUGUAAGAGAUGCUGUAGGAAAAAUCUGAAUAGUUCUUGUAACGCUGUGAAACCUAGUGAUAUCUUACCGGACGGAACCCCCUGUUAUCAAGGUUUCUGCCAUCAGGGCCAGUGUGAGAAGUCCAGUCCUGACCCAAUAGUUCGGAUCAUUGAUAUAUUUAAAGAUAUCAGCAUCACAUCCGUGCUUAAAUUCUUGAAGGAUAAUGUUGUUGGUACAGUUAUAUUUGUAUCUCUACUGUUCUGGGUUCCUAUAUCCUGCCUUAUCAGCUGGGUUGACCGGAAACGCGCCAAACAGGACGCUAAAGACUGGGAGUGGAGAAGACAGGACGAACUUAUUCAUCCAGAAGACAAACGUCGGAUAAUCCAUAUGCGGGUUCCGAAACGGAAUACGACGGAACAGAUAACUCCGGAGCACAGGGCUGAUCUCGUACAUAGGAAUACAAUCUCACAACAGUCAUCCAUGUAAAUCAUGUACAUACAUACAGUACUCUUAUUACAUUGAACAUUCAGUGUCUAGCGUACACCGUAAAUCAAUACACUGAAUAACACUUACUCUACACAAACGUAUUAAUACAUGAUAUUUUUAAUCAAAUUGACUACUGUACAGCCCGUACAGUUUUAACUGUACUUUCCGUACAGUUGUAUGCUUAUAAUUGUACAAAGUUGACCUUAUGUACAGAUGUACACCUGACGUAAAAUCUCAACCAAAGAUAUUUAGUUAAAAGCGAUAUUCUUCAUUCUUCAGGGCAUUGCUUAGUUCUUAAAAACUAUUAGUUAUAUGUACUUCUUGACCUUUUAUCCUCAUUUUUAUAUAUAUCUAUGAUAUCAAAAUUAUGUCGAGCUGUAUGUUUUUAACAAUGUGUAAACAAUUACCAAAAAUGUAACAUUCCGUUUUUUAGUUCUGCUUCCUUUAUUCUUAAUUUAAAAAGUCAAAAAUAACAGGUGAUUUAAUCAAUUUGUUUUAUUAAACGAAUUUUUAACGAAAUAAUUAUGCAUCAUUUAUUAAUUGCGUGCCAUCAAUGAUUCACAUUAAUGAAUGUCUCUUUAACCCACUUCUUAAGAAUUCAUUGUAUUCCAAUCCAAGUUGCAAAAAUAUUAUUAAUAUAACUUUGGCGUGGACUGAAGGAAAUUUGUAAAAAACGAGCUAUAUCCCAAAUUGCUAUUUGUUUAGGCUAAUAUAAAAUAAAAUAAAAUAAAAUAUUUUACAUAAAAAGAAGGACUAUUUCACCAUAUGCCACCGUUUUUGCCCUGUAAAUUUACCUUUUUUCGAUUAACAAGAUCUCUCAGAGGGUCUUGACAGUUGUUUUAUAAUUAAGUAAACAAUAAAAAUUAAUUGAAACAUCAUUUUGGUUUUAAUCAACUUGUUAAAGCCAUAUUUAUUUAUACUUGAAUGCUGACUUAGAUUUGAAUAUUUACUAUAAUUAGUUGACAUUAAUUAAUUUUCUAGUCGUUUAUAUUUCAUUAAAUGCAUA